GUCUUCUUCAAUAUAGUAAUAGUAAUAGUCCGCUUAUAUGGCGCUCAUAUCCAGACACAUUACCUGCUCACGGCGCCACGUACAUUACUAUCCUCGGUCAUAGGACACCAUCGUACGA